CGUGCGGGGAGGGGGGUGCGUGUGCAAGGGGGGUGCGUGUGCAAGGGGGUGCGCGUGCGUGUGUGCGAGGGCGCCGCUCCGCGCCUACACGUUGAUCUUAUUUGAUCGGGGGGGCCCGGCCCCCCCCGAGAUGAGAAGCCCCCUCCUGCGAAGCCCCCCGGGCGCUGUGCAGCGAGGCCGCCCCGGCGGCGCGGACGUGAUGAGUCGAUCAGAUAGAUGAGGCCGGAUGCCCGGUGCCCGGGCCCGGCCCCUGAGUACGAGGCGAUUCUGAUCCG